rnacentral:rRNA from 1 species
AGUCAUAUGCUUGUCUCAAAGAUUAAGCCAUGCAUGUCUAAGUAUAAGCGACUUGUACUGUGAAACUGCGAAUGGCUCAUUAAAUCAGUUAUGGUUUCUUUGAUGGUACCUUGCUACUUGGAUACCCGUAGUAAUUCUAGAGCUAAUACAUGCAGGAAUGCCCGACUUCGGAAGGGCUGUAUUUAUUAGAUAAGAAACCUUCUCGGGUUCGCCCGGUUGUGUGCUGAGUCAUAAUAACUGCUCGAAUCGCACGGCUCUACGCCGGCGAUGGUUCAUUCAAAUUUCUGCCCUAUCAGCUUUCGAUGGUAGGAUAGAGGCCUACCAUGGCGUUAACGGGUAACGGAGGAUUAGGGUUCGAUUCCGGAGAGGGGGCCUGAGAGAUGGCCACCACAUCCAAGGAAGGCAGCAGGCGCGUAAAUUGCCCGAAUCCUGACACAGGGAGGUAGUGACAAGAAAUAACAAUACAGGGCUACUUCUAGUCUUGUAAUUGGAAUGAGUACAACUUACAUCUCUUCACGAGGAUCAAU